UACGAAGGGCGCAAGCGUUACUCGGAAUUACUGGGCGUAAAGCGUGCGUAGGUGGCUCGUUAAGUCUGAUGUGAAAGCCCUGGGCUCAACCUGGGAAUGGCAUUGGAAACUGGCGAUCUAGAGUGCGGUAGAGGGUAGUGGAAUUCCCGGUGUAGCAGUGAAAUGCGUAGAGAUCGGGAGGAACAUCUGUGGCGAAGGCGACUGCCUGGACCAGCACUGACACUGAGGCACGAAAGCGUGGGGAGCAAACAGG
rnacentral:rRNA from 1 species